UACGUAGGGGGCUAACGUUGUCCGGAAUCAUUGGGCGUAAAGCGCGUGUAGGCGGCCCGGUAAGUCCGCUGUGAAAGUCGGGGGCUCAACCCUCGGAUGCCGGUGGAUACUGUCGGGCUCGAGUACGGAAGAGGCGAGUGGAAUUCCUGGUGUAGCGGUGAAAUGCGCAGAUAUCAGGAGGAACACCAAUUGCGAAGGCAGCUCGCUGGGACGUUACUGACGCUGAGACGCGAAAGCGUGGGGAGCAAACAGG
rnacentral:rRNA from 1 species